rnacentral:lncRNA from 1 species
UUCUGUCUUCUCCAAUAUUGUGACAUUGACAUUGACUUCCUUCCUCAUUAACCAUAAUCUACCAUUUGGUGCAUAUUCAUUAUUGUCUUUAAUUUUCCAUUCUCUCCAUAUUUUUCUUUGAAUAGCCUUUGCAUUCUGCUUUAUGACUCUUGUUUCAAGGCAAGCUAUCAUAUCCACCUUAUUUUUCAACAAGAAUUUUCUCACUUCUCGGUGCUUGUAGGACUUAUUCAGUCCUCUCACAUUUCAAGACAUAAUAAUUAUGGGGAUAGAUUAUUAGGAGUGUUGUUUAGGCUCCUCUGUCUUGCUUCAUCAUUUAUCAUUUCAUCCUGCAUAGUCCUUUCAGGUGGAUUAUCCUUUACCAUCAUUGUUGCAAAUCUGUCCUUGCUUGCUAACUCCUCAUAAUUGAUCUUUUUGUGUUUUGAAUUUUGUAUGUUCAUAUCCUUCUUGCCUUUAUGUUGUUCCUGUUUAUCUUUCUGUUCAGUUGCAUCUAUUUGUUGCUGGUUGGAUUUCUUUGCUUUCUUUGGCUUCCAUUCCAUUUUGUUCCUCUUAUUUCUUCUUCUUUUCAACUUAACUUCUUCUUUGUGUUCCUCGGCCUAUUAACAUUUCCCUUUGUCAUACCCAAAGUUGUUACACUCUAGGUAGAAUUUUGGCUUCCGCUCGAAUUCCACACUUUAUAUCCAGCUUCUUUGAUUAGGGAUAUUAAGGUGGACUUUAUCUGGUAAAGGCUGUGUGAUAUCCAUUUCAACUUGUACCCUAGCAAAUGAGAUCCUCUCACAAUUCAGCAGUUAGCCUAUCAGUACAAAUAGGCUUACCUAGAAGGCUAGCAAUCCUUCCCGGGUUUUCCUUAAUCCAACAUUGAAUAGGCAAACCUGGAAAAUUGAUCCACAGUGGAACAAUUCUCAUGGACUCGUUUUUAAUCUGAAAAUUUGGAUCCUAUUCCUUUAGUAUCAUUGGCCUAUUGUUAAUUGUAUACGGUCCCUGUUACAACACCAUAUCUUUAUCACCCAUAGAUUCAAAUUUGAAAAUGAAAUAACCAUAAUCAUGCUUCAAAACUGUUAUAAUCGUAAUAAAUAUCCAUACACCAUAUACAAACUUUAACAUAUCUUUAAAUGAUGGAUUUCCACCCAGUACAUACCCUAUCAAAGGCAUUUUCCAUUUUUGAACUUGCAAUUCCAUCUUCCCCGUGUUCAAUUUUGUUGUUUUCACUCCAUCCUUCACCAUCGGUGGAUAGAAUUUUAACUAAAUGCCCUGUGUUUGUGUUCUUUUCCCUUUUACUGCUUCUGCCAUAGUAUGCUUUUGAGAUCCAAGUGAGUAUUUCAAUUUCCUUGUUGUCGUGAACAUCGUUGCUUCCUCUGGUUGCAUGGCCAUCUUCUGUACUUUCGGUGGAGCUUGUAUUACUGUCAGAGCACUCCUCAUGCCAGGAAGCUAAUGUAACAAUUGUAUCGGUGCUAGUUUUUGUGGUAUUCCACUUUCCGGUAUAAUUAAUCUCGUCAUCUUAGUGAAUUCAGUAGGAAUUGUAGCAAAGGAGUAGAAAUUGUUCGUUAAUGGCGUCUGUAAGCUACCUUGCUUCACAAUGGCCAGACGUUUUCUCUCUACCUUCGUG